CCUACGGGUGGCAGCAGUGAGGAAUAUUGGUCAAUGGACGGAAGUCUGAACCAGCCAUGCCGCGUGCAGGAUGACGGCUCUAUGAGUUGUAAACUGCUUUUGUACAAGGAUAAACCUGGAUACGUGUAUUCUUCUGAAUGUACUGUACGAAUAAGGAUCGGCUAACUCCGUGCCAGCAGCCGCGGUAAUACGGAGGAUCCAAGCGUUAUCCGGAUUUAUUGGGUUUAAAGGGUGCGUAGGCGGAUUGAUAAGUUAGAUGUGAAAUGUGCGGGCUUAACUGGGGAACUGCAUCUAAUACUGUCAGUCUAGAGAGUAGAUGAGGUAGGCGGAAUGUAUGGUGUAGCGGUGAAAUGCUUAGAGAUCAUACAGAACACCGAUUGCGAAGGCAGCUUACCAAGCUAUAUCUGACGUUGAGGCACGAAAGCGUGGGGAGCAAACAGGAUUAGAUACCCGUGUAGUC
rnacentral:rRNA from 1 species